UUAUCGUGUGCGUGGCAGCAGGUGCCGUGGCUACAGCAGGCCCUCGCCUUCGCCCACUCCUCCCCCUCCUCCCUCCUCCAGAACAGGCACAACAUCUUAAGAGCUGUUUCCCAGCUGCAGUCUUCUCUGGGAACUAUGGACCUGGGCCAGGUUUAUUAUGAGCCUCUGAAAGACCGGCAGGGCAACGUCCUACUGGUGACCAUGAAGGAGUUUCCAACCCCUCCAAGCCUUCGUGACCCCCCGCUCCACUGGAUCCCGUUGGCCCGUCUGGAGAAGAACCGCAGCAGAACCCCUCUGCUGCCCGAGCCCACCUCCAUGGACAUGCUUUAUGAACAGCUCAAAG